UACGAAGGGGGCUAGCGUUGUUCGGAUUUACUGGGCGUAAAGCGCACGUAGGCGGAUCUUUAAGUCAGAGGUGAAAUCCCAAGGCUCAACCUUGGAACUGCCUUUGAUACUGGGGAUCUUGAGUCCGGGAGAGGUGAGUGGAACUGCGAGUGUAGAGGUGAAAUUCGUAGAUAUUCGCAAGAACACCAGUGGCGAAGGCGGCUCACUGGCCCGGUACUGACGCUGAGGUGCGAAAGCGUGGGGAGCAAA
rnacentral:rRNA from 1 species